rnacentral:sRNA from 1 species
GCCAGGCACUGUGGUGCAUGCCUGUAAUCCCAGCAGUUUAGGAGGUUGAGGCAGGAGGAUCAUGAGUUCAAAGCCACCCUCAGUAAUUUAGCAAGUGAGACCCUGUCUCCA